GACGAAGGGGGCUAGCGUUGUUCGGAAUUACUGGGCGUAAAGGGCGCGUAGGCGGCGCGGUAAGUCACUUGUGAAAUCUCUGAGCUUAACUCAGAACGGCCAAGUGAUACUGCAGUGCUAGAGUGCAGAAAGGGCAAUCGGAAUUCUUGGUGUAGCGGUGAAAUGCGUAGAUAUCAAGAGGAACACCUGAGGCGAAGGCGGGUUGCUAGGCUGACACUGACGCUCAAGCGCGAAAGCCAGGGGAGCAAACGGG
rnacentral:rRNA from 1 species